rnacentral:rRNA from 1 species
AUUGAACGCUGGCGGCAGGCCUAACACAUGCAAGUCGAGCGGAUGAAGGGAGCUUGCUCCUGGAUUCAGCGGCGGACGGGUGAGUAAUGCCUAGGAAUCUGCCUGGUAGUGGGGGAUAACGUCCGGAAACGGGCGCUAAUACCGCAUACGUCCUGAGGGAGAAAGUGGGGGAUCUUCGGACCUCACGCUAUCAGAUGAGCCUAGGUCGGAUUAGCUAGUUGGUGGGGUAAAGGCCUACCAAGGCGACGAUCCGUAACUGGUCUGAGAGGAUGAUCAGUCACACUGGAACUGAGACACGGUCCAGACUCCUACGGGAGGCAGCAGUGGGGAAUAUUGGACAAUGGGCGAAAGCCUGAUCCAGCCAUGCCGCGUGUGUGAAGAAGGUCUUCGGAUUGUAAAGCACUUUAAGUUAGGAGGAAGGGCAGUAAGUUAAUACCUUGCUGUUUCGACGUUACCAACAGAAUAAGCACCGGCUAACUUCGUG